rnacentral:rRNA from 1 species
AGUGAACGCUGGCGGUAGGCCUAACACAUGCAAGUCGAACGGCAGCACAGUAAGAGCUUGCUCUUACGGGUGGCGAGUGGCGGACGGGUGAGGAAUACAUCGGAAUCUACUUUUUCGUGGGGGAUAACGUAGGGAAACUUACGCUAAUACCGCACACGACCUACGGGUGAAAACAGGGGAUCUUCGGACCUUGCGCGAUUGAAUGAGCCGAUGUCGGAUUAGCUAGUUGGCGGGGUAAAGGCCCACCAAGGCGACGAUCCGUAGCUGGUCUGAGAGGAUGAUCAGCCACACUGGAACUGAGACACGGUCCAGACUCCUACGGGAGGCAGCAGUGGGGAAUAUUGGACAAUGGGCGCAAGCCUGAUCCAGCCAUACCGCGUGGGUGAAGAAGGCCUUCGGGUUGUAAAGCCCUUUUGUUGGGAAAGAAAAGCAGCAGGUUAAUACCCCGCUGUUCUGACGGUACCCAAAGAAUAAGCACCGGCUAACUUCGUG